GUCAUAUACAAGCGUCCAAAACACACCGGACGCAUAUAGAGGAAGCACAACCGAAGGAUCAAUACUUCCUUUAAUGGCAGCCCAACCUAACAAAGCUCCCCAGUUGAAAGUCAAACCAAGAAAGGCUUGAGGCCUUUGGAGUUGAGGGCAGGGAGAGCGAGAGAGAGUAUAGAUAUACUGAUUUGAGAGAUGCAGCAUGAAGAUUCGGAUUUAUUACCCAAAAUGUAAACCUCUUCAUGAGGGGGUAUGUGAAGACCAG
rnacentral:misc_RNA from 1 species